rnacentral:rRNA from 1 species
AUACGGAAGGUCCGGGCGUUAUCCGGAUUUAUUGGGUUUAAAGGGAGCGCAGGCGGAGAUGCAAGCGUGACGUCAAAUUUCGGGGCUCAACCCCGUCUCGCGUCGCGAACUGCGUCCCUUGGUUGCGGGAAGGGGAGGCGGAACUCGUGGUGUAGCGGUGAAAUGCAUAGAUAUCACGAAGAACUCUGAUCGCGAAGGCAGCCUUCCGGCCCGUCAACGACGCUCAUGCUCGAAGGUGCGGGUAUCAAACAGGAUUAGAUACCCUGGUAGUCCGCACAGUAAACGAUGGACACCCGCGGUUUGGCCUGUAUGGCUGAGCCGCCAAGCGAAAGCGUUAAGUGUCCCACCUGGGGAGUACGCCGGCAACGGUGAAACUCAAAUGAAUUGACGGGG